rnacentral:rRNA from 1 species
UACGGGGGGGGCAAGCGUUGUUCGGAAUUACUGGGCGUAAAGGGCUCGUAGGUGGCCAACUAAGUCAGACGUGAAAUCCCUCAGCUUAACUAGGGAACUGCGUCCGAUACUGGUUGGCUUGAGUUUGGGAGAGGGAUGCGGAAUUCCAGGUGUAGCGGUGAAAUGCGUAGAUAUCUGGAGGAACACCGGUGGCGAAGGCGGCAUCCUGGACCAAUACUGACGCUGAGGAGCGAAAGCCAGGGGAGCAAACGGG